rnacentral:tRNA from 2 species
GCCGAGAUAGCUCAGCUUGGUAGAGCACCGCACUGAAAAUGCGGGUGUCCCCAGUUCAAAUCUGGGUCUCGGCACCA